GGUCCGGUGAAGUGUUCGGAUCGCGGCGACGUGAGCGGUUCGCCGCCCGCGACGUCGCGAGAAGUCCACUGAACCUUAUCAUUUAGAGGAAGGAGAAGUCGUAACAAGGUUUCCGUAGGUGAACCUGCGGAAGGAUCAUUGUCGAAACCUGCCCAGCAGAACGACUCGCGAACCGUGGUUACAUUGCGCCGAGGGGCGACGGGGCCACUGCCCCCCGCCGUUCGGCAAAAGUCCCGGGAGGCACCGGAGGCAAACGCCUCGGGCGCCCGACGGGACUCACAACCAAACCCCGGCGCAGAACGCGCCAAGGAAAACGAAAUCGAGGAGGAUCGUCCCUGCGCUCCCGGAGACGGCGCGCGCUCGGACGGUCCGCCGGACAGUCACGAAUCAAAACGACUCUCGGCAACGGAUAUCUCGGCUCUCGCAUCGAUGAAGAACGUAGCAAAAUGCGAUACUUGGUGUGAAUUGCAGAAUCCCGUGAACCAUCGAGUCUUUGAACGCAAGUUGCGCCCGAAGCCUUCUGGCCGAGGGCACGUCUGCCUGGGUGUCACACAACGUUGUCCCACCACAAACCCAUCCCGAGAGGGAAGGGAGGGACGGAUGCUGGUCUCCCGUGAGUCCCCCCUCGCGGCUGGCCCAAACGCAUGUCCGCGAGACGGGAGCCGCGACUAACGGUGGUUGAACGACCCUCGGCUCAGGUCGUGGCCUCCCGUCCCGAGAGCGGCCAACAAGACCCCGCGCGUCGCUUGGAACGCCACAACUGCGACCCCAGGUCAGGCGGGACUACCCGCUGAGUUUAAGCAUAUCAAUAAGCGGAGGAAAAGAAACUUACCAGGAUUCCCCUAGUAACGGCGAGCGAACCGGGGAAUUUCUAA
rnacentral:rRNA from 1 species